UACGUAGGGUGCGAGCGUUAAUCGGAAUUACUGGGCGUAAAGCGUGCGCAGGCGGUUCGUUAUGUCCGAUGUGAAAGCCCCGAGCUUAACUUGGGAAUGGCAUUGGAAACUGGCGGGCUGGAGUGCGGCAGAGGGGGGUGGAAUUCCACGUGUAGCAGUGAAAUGCGCAGAUAUCAGGAGGAACACCGGUGGCGAAGGCGGUUCUCUGGGCCUGUUCUGACGCUGAGGAGCGAAAGCGUGGGGAGCAAACAGG
rnacentral:rRNA from 1 species